rnacentral:rRNA from 1 species
CCGGAGCUAAUACCGGAUAAUAUAUUUAACCGCAUGGUUCAAUAGUGAAAGACGGUUUUGCUGUCACUUAUAGAUGGAUCCGCGCCGCAUUAGCUAGUUGGUAAGGUAACGGCUUACCAAGGCAACGAUGCGUAGCCGACCUGAGAGGGUGAUCGGCCACACUGGAACUGAGACACGGUCCAG